rnacentral:rRNA from 1 species
GCACAAGCGGUGGAGCAUGUGGUUUAAUUCGACGCAACGCGAAGAACCUUACCUGGGCUCGAAAUGGAGUGGACUGGGGUAGAAAUAUCCCUUCCCCGCAAGGGGCCGCUCUAUAGGUGCUGCAUGGCUGUCGUCAGCUCGUGUCGUGAGAUGUUGGGUUAAGUCCCGCAACGAGCGCAACCCUUAUUACCAGUUGCCACCAUUCAGUUGGGCACUCUGGUGAGACCGCCUCGGAUAACGGGGAGGAAGGCGGGGAUGACGUCAAGUCCUCAUGGCCUUUAUGUCCAGGGCUACACACGUGCUACAAUGGCCGGUACAAACCGUCGCAAACCCGUGAGGGGGAGCUAAUCGGAAAAAGCCGGCCUCAGUUCGGAUUGUAGUCUGCAACUCGACUACAUGAAGCUGGAAUCGCUAGUAAUCGCGGAUCAGAAUGCCGCGGUGAAUACGUUCCCGGGC